UACGUAGGGUCCGAGCGUUGUCCGGAAUUAUUGGGCGUAAAGGGCUCGUAGGCGGUUUGUCGCGUCGGGGAGUGAAAACUCAGGGCUCAACCCUGAGCGUGCUUCCGAUACGGGCAGACUAGAGGUAUGCAGGGGAGAACGGAAUUCCUGGUGUAGCGGUGGAAUGCGCAGAUAUCAGGAGGAACACCGGUGGCGAAGGCGGUCUCUGGGCAUUACCUGACGCUGAGGAGCGAAAGCAUGGGGAGCGAACAGG
rnacentral:rRNA from 1 species